AAGUAAUGGUACUGGGGAGAAUUUUUCAGAUGCUGCCUCCUCUAUUACCAUCCUGAAAUCUGUUUAUUUUUCUUUAGUUUCCUAAAUCCAGGCCUAUUUGCUAAUCUCAGAACAACUAAAUUGGAUAAAUGCAGAGCAGGUGCCGACAGAAUUUAAAUGGGGAGAGUGGCUGCAAGGUGCAAAUUGAUUUUUUAACUGUCCAUCCCAUGGAGGAUGUAGUAGUCUUCCCUGAAAAGGGCAGGACACAAGCCUUGGUUAUGUCCAAUUGCAGCUCAAUUAAGAGUAUAAAAGCGUUCCCCUGCAAGCAGGGCUUUCUUUUUUAUGAGCUGUUGGACAGAAAGAAGAGGAUGGAGCUAGUAAAGUGGAAAGGGACUCCCUUGGGCGGUAUGUUUAGGAUGCUCUGUUGCUUCUUUUCUUUGGUCCUAAGGGCCGCUAACAGCUUUAAAGAUAUGUUUAUGCUGGGAGACCAUCUCCUCCUUUGCCGCGGAUGGAAAAGCGUGCCUCUCGCCCUUCCCACAAACAGCAUUGCAGUGAUUUCCCUUCUGAGUGCUGUGGGGAGAGGAACUGAAAUGCUUGCUGAGACUACCGUGUGCCAUGUCAGAUAGAACAUCUGUAGAGUAGGAACAUUGCUAACAUUGUGAGGAACUUCUGUGGAGAUAUCCUUUGUACUUGAAACAAAACAAAUAAACAAAAAAAAAAACACA
rnacentral:lncRNA from 1 species